UACAUGGGGUGCAAACGUUGCUCGGAAUUAUUGGGCGUAAAGCGCACGUAGGCGGUUUGUUAAGUCGGAUGUGAAAUCCCUCGGCUCAACUGAGGAAGUGCACCCGAAACUGGCAGGCUUGAGUACUAAAGAGGGUCGCGGAAUUCCCGGUGUAGAGGUGAAAUUCGUAGAUAUCGGGAGGAACACCAGUGGCGAAGGCGGCGAUCUGGGCUGAUACUGACGCUGAGGUGCGAAAGCGUGGGGAGCAAACAGG
rnacentral:rRNA from 1 species